UACGAAGGGGGCUAGCGUUGCUCGGAAUCACUGGGCGUAAAGCGCACGUAGGCGGCCUACUAAGUCGGACGUGAAAUCCCUCGGCUCAACCGAGGAACUGCGUCCGAUACUGGCAGGCUGGAAUCCGGGAGAGGGAUGUGGAAUUCCAGGUGUAGCGGUGAAAUGCGUAGAUAUCUGGAGGAACACCGGUGGCGAAGGCGGCAUCCUGGACCGGUAUUGACGCUGAGGCGCGAAAGCUAGGGGAGCGAACAGG
rnacentral:rRNA from 1 species